UGAGGAAUAUUGGACAAUGGAGGGAACUCUGAUCCAGCAAUUCUGUGUGUGUGAAGAAGGUUUUAGGACUGUAAAACACUUUUAGUAGGGAAGAAAAAAAUGACGGUACCUACAGAAGAAGCAACGGCUAAAUACGUGCCAGCAGCCGCGGUAAUACGUAUGUUGCGAGCGUUAUCCGGAAUUAUUGGGCUUAAAGGGCAUCUAGGCGGUAAGACAAGUUGAAGGUGAAAACCUGUGGCUCAACCAUAGGCUUGCCUACAAAACUGUUGAACUAGAGUACUGGAAAGGUGGGUGGAACUACACGAGUAGAGGUGAAAUUCGUAGAUAUGUGUAGGAAUGCCGAUGAUGAAGAUAACUCACUGGACAGAAACUGACGCUGAAGUGCGAAAGCUAGGGGAGCAAACAGG
rnacentral:rRNA from 1 species